rnacentral:tRNA from 1 species
GGGAUUGUGGCUCAGUGGUAGAGCGCUUGCCUAGCAUGUGUGAGGCCCUGGGUUCAAUCCUCAGCACCA